rnacentral:rRNA from 1 species
AACGAACGCUGGCGGCGCGCCUAAUACAUGCAAGUCGAGCGAGAAGACGUAGCAAUACGUUUGUAAAGCGGCGAACGGGUGAGGAAUACAUGGGUAACCUACCCUCGAGUGGGGAAUAACUAGCCGAAAGGUUAGCUAAUACCGCGUACGCUCCUUGGACUUCGGUUCAGGGAGGAAAGCGAUACCGUGGGUAUCGCGCUCUUGGAUGGGCUCAUGUCCUAUCAGCUUGUUGAUGAGGUAACGGCUCACCAAGGCUUCGACGGGUAGCUGGUCUGAGAGGACGAUCAGCCACACUGGCACUGCGACACGGGCCAGACUCCUACGGGAGGCAGCAGUAAGGAAUAUUGCGCAAAUGGGCGAAAAGCCUGACGCAGCGACGCCGCGUGGGGGA